rnacentral:rRNA from 1 species
GCUUGUCUCAAAGAUUAAGCCAUGCAUGUCUAAGUAUAAACGAUUUUAUACGUGAAACUGCGAAUGGCUCAUUAUAUCAGUUAUAGUUUAUUUGAUGGUCCUUACUACUUGGAUAACCGUAGUAAUUCUAGAGCUAAUACAUGCAUCAAGCCCUGACUUCGGAAGGGGUGUAUUUAUUAGUUACAGAACCAGCCCAGGCUCUGCCUGGUCUUGUGGUGAUUCAUAAUAACCGAACGAAUCGUAUGGCAUCAGCUGGCGAUGAAUCAUUCAAGUUUCUGACCUAUCAGCUUCCGACGGUAGGGUAUUGGCCUACCGUGGCAAUGACGGGUAACGGAGAAUUAGGGUUCGAUUCCGGAGAGGGAGCCUGAGAAACGGCUACCACAUCUAAGGAAGGCAGCAGG